AAAAAUGAUGAUGAUGUUUUGACAUGUUUAAUUUCAUGUUUAAAGCUUUGCAUGUGAGAAUCUAACUCUUGAUUCUUGAUUCUUGAAAGCAAAUAGAAGAUUGGUGAGAAACCAGAAAAUUUGAUGAUGAUAUGCUAUGAAAUGAUUAUCUUGAUGUUUAAAAUAAUUGCAUGUUAAGAUUUACUAAUUAUGAUUAUAUGUUUAAGUUUUGGAUUAGAGGUAGGUAAGUUUAUUGAGUCUAGAAUCUUGAAAUAGAUGGUUAUAU
rnacentral:lncRNA from 1 species